rnacentral:lncRNA from 1 species
GUCGGCGGUUUGCGCUUCGGUGGCGGCUCAGGCUUUGGUUCGGGUUUGGGUUCUGGUUUAGGCAUCGGUUCAGGCUUGGGCUCGGGUUUUGGUUCAGGUUUAGGCAUGGGCUUAGGCAUGGGCUCAGGCUUUGGUUCUGGUUUAGGCAUUGGCUUAGGCUUGGGUUCGGGUUUUGGCUCUGGUUUGGGCAUUGGCUCAGGCUUGGGUUCUGGUUUAGGCAUGGGCUCAGGCUUUGGUUCCGGUUUAAUUGGCUCAGGCUUCGGUUCCGGCUUAGGCAUUGGCUCGGGCUUGGGCUCAGGUUUUGGCUCAGGUUUAGGCAUUGGCUCGGGUUUGGGCUCAGGUUUAGGCUCAGGUUUAGGCACUGGCUCAGGCUUAGGCUCGGGUUUAGGCUCAGGUUUAGGCACUGGCUUAGGCAUGGGCUCGGGUUUUGGUUCCGGUUUAGGCAUUGGCUCAGGUUUGGGCUCGGGUUUAGGCUCGGGUUUAGGCAUUGGCUUAGGCAUGGGCUCGGGUUUUGGUUCCGGUUUGGGCAUGGGCUCUGGUUUUGGCUCGGGUUUUGGCAUUGGCUUAGGCAUGGGCUCUGGUUUUGGUUCCGGUUUAGGCAUCGGCUCAGGUUUCGGCUCUGGUUUAGGCAUUGGUUUGGGCAUUGGUUCCGGCUUGGGCUCUGGCUUCGGCUCGGGCUUGGGCAUGGGUUCAGGUUUGGGCUCAGGUUUCGGUCCCGGUUUGGGCAUUGGUUCUGGCUUCGGCUCAGGUUUCGGUUCAGGUUUAGGCAUGGGUUCAGGUUUCGGUUCAGGUUUUGGCUCUGGUUUUGGCAUGGGCUUGGGCUCCGGUUUUGGCAUGGGUUUUGGUUCCGGCUUUGGCUCUGGCU